rnacentral:rRNA from 1 species
AGCAGCCGCGGUAAUUCCAGCUCCAAUAGCGUAUAUUAAAGUUGUUGCAGUUAAAAAGCUCGUAGUUGAAUUUCGGGAUUGGCGCAUCGGUCGUGCCUUACGGGGUAUGAACUGGUGCAGUCAAUUUCUCACCUUCUGGAGAACCGCGAUGUCCUUAAUUGGGUGCCGCGGGGAACCAGGACCUUUACUUUGAAAAAAUUAGAGUGUUUAAAGCAGGCAUUUUUGCUUGAAUACAUUAGCAUGGAAUAAUAAAAUAGGACGGCAUGGUUCUAUUUUGUUGGUUUCUAGGACCACCGUAAUGAUUAAUAGGGAUAGUUGGGGGCAUUAGUAUUCAAUUGUCAGAGGUGAAAUUCUUGGAUUUAUUGAAGACUAACUACUGCGAAAGCAUUUGCCAAGGAUGUUUUCAUUAAUCAAGAACGAAAGUUAGGGGAUCGAAGACGAUCAGAUACCGUCGUAGUCUUAACCAUAAAGCUAUGCCGACUAGGGAUCGGAUGAUGUUAAUUUUUAAUGAUCAUUCGGC